UCUAAAUAAUAAUAUUUAUUUUCUUACCAUCAUUUUGGAGUACAAAAUCAUAACUUCAAGGUCCGUACAAUUGGAAAAAAUAAAAACAAAAGUAUGUUGCAUCACUACACUAAUUUACAUUUCAAUUAAUAUUUUAUCACAAGGUAUAUUUCACAUUUAUUUUUAUAGCACAAUAACUCAUGGUUGUUUUUGUGUUGUCAUGGCUCUUGUACUUGUAGAAUUAGAUAGAAGUUUUCAUGCAUCGACAUAUGUGAUCGAUACACUUCAUAACAAAAAAUAUGGUCGUAUGUUUUGGACAAUCAGCAUCAGUUUCACAUUCAUUAUGUUCUGCAAUGAAAAAAUAUCAUAAAAUGUUGUUACUAAAAUAUGGUAAAAUAUUGUGUAUGACUUGUGAAGUGAAGAAGGAAAAUAAUAAAAAGGAUGAAAAUAUGGCUUACCACCACCAACUUUUGUUGCGAUAAGAAAUAAUGAAAGAAAUAUAAUCAUACAAAAAACAAACUUGAGAAUUUCAU
rnacentral:lncRNA from 1 species